rnacentral:lncRNA from 1 species
CCCUCAAAAGCAUGUUUGGUUAGCUAAACUCUGUCUAGUGGCACGCAAAGACAAAGGUGUUUGAUUUCCUGACUCGUGCCAAGCUUGGCCCAAAGCAGCUAUACUAAUCCUAGCCAUAGAAAUGAUUACCCGAUCCUACGAGCAAUCAACGCUGUAACCAUUAACUCUGUAAUGGUUUUGUCAGCCUCGUGCUGUUAAUGCAAUCCUGUUCAUU